rnacentral:rRNA from 1 species
GGCCUUUUGGAGAUUUUUAUAAAAGGUUGGGCCUGCCCGGUGAUCUGAAAUGGUUUAACGGCUGCGAUUGAAACCGUACUAAGGUAGCAUAAUAAUUUGCCCUUUAAUUGGGGGAGAGAAUGAAUGGUUUGACGGUAAAAAAGCUGUUUUAAAAAUAAAAAAAGAAGUUAACUUUUAAGUGAAAAGGCUUAAGUUUUUAUAAAAGACGAGAAGACCCCGUCGAGCUUAAUUAGAAUAACUUUAAUGUAGGUUAUUUAAAAUUUUAUUGGGGCAAUAGAAAAUGAAAUGAAUCAUUUUUUUUAUUAUAAGGAUCCAGUUUUGACUGAAAAAAGCAAAAGCUACCGCGGGGAUAACAGGGUAAUUUUUUCUGAGAGUUCAUAUUUAAGAAGAAGUUUGCUACCUCGAUGUUGGAUUAGAAUUUCUUUAUGCUUGCAGCAGGUAUAAUAGUAGGACUGUUCGUCCUUUAAAAUUUU